ACUGGAGAACCCUGGCUGCCGGAAAUUGCUUUAUAGCCUGCCAAUAAGAAUGGGAUGGCCAAUUUUUGGAGGCUGAGACUACAACAUACUAAAGAGCUAAAAGAGAACCCACUGCCCUCUACCCAUCACAUAAACUGAAGAGGACCGGAAUCAGUGUCUCUGGAGUGUUUUGACAGCAACUCUGACCGAAAACUCGCUGAUCGCACAUGACAAAGGUCAAUGUUCUCUAGAUUUCUACAAGCAGGAGAGCACUGAGGCCAAGUGUGUUUUUGUAUUGUUG